CCUAGAAUUGUAAAAAACUAGAUUAGUUGCAGUAGCCAUGGCCAUCUCUUCCAUGGACCCAAAAGCCGUGAAAUCGGACUUGGUCUUCAUCCUCGACUACGGCUCCCAUACACCCACCUCAUCACUCGCCGCAUCCGAUCCCUCUCCGUCUUCUCCCUCACCAUCUCCUGCACCAGCCCCCUCAAGGCCAUCACCGACCUCAACCCCAGCGUUGUCAUCCUCUCCGGCAGUCCCCAUUCCGUCCACACUGACGACUCCCCCAGCUUCCCAGCAGGGUCCACCGAGUGGGUCGAGGCCCACGACUUCUUCGUCCGCGGAAUCUGCUAUGGCUUGCAACUGAUUGUGCAGAAGCUUGGCGGGGUGGUUAGGGCUGGGAAGAAGCAAGACUAUGGCAAGAUGGAGAUUGUGGUGGAGAGCAAUUCGGGGAUUUUCCGGGACCAAGAGGGUUGGGGAUACCCAGGGGUUCCGGGUGAUGGAGCAGAGCUAGCAGGGAGUGGUGGCCGCCAUUGAAAGCCUAGAAAGGAGGUUCUAUGGGCUGCAGUACCACCCUGAGAAGAACCGGCCAUGUUUCACAUUUCUAUCAACUUGAUUGUAAAACUGCAAGUAUGCUGCAUUAUCAAAAGAAGAGUGGGAAGAACAAUUCGCAAGUAUAAACUGCAAGUAUGCUGCAUUACUUGGAGAUUAUAGUUUUAUUCUGAAGCAUAAACAACGCAGGUUGUUAAAGUGAAAUCAGCCAUCUCAAGGUCUGUUAGCAAGAAGAAAUAGGUGUCAAGUGCUGGGUAUGGUCACAAUCUGAACUGUUCAAAGGUGCAAUCAUCCAUCUUUGGGGCUUCUAUCUCAACCUGGUCGUCUUUACAUUUCAGCAUAUGCAGUGAAAAAUUAUAUGCAAACUCUGAAGGCAAGUGAUUGGCAUCUUGAAGGAGCUAGGAGCAUUUAAUAUAUUCUACAGCAAAGCCACGGGAGGAGAAGAAAAAACAAAUGUCCAAGCUCUAGAGUACAUUGUAAAUUAUUUUGCUAGUUAGCUUCAAUAGUUAGGUCUCAUGGAAUAAUUAAUGACUAUUGUAGAUGUAUUUUGAUGGCUGUAAUGGCAUUGGAGUUUUC